rnacentral:misc_RNA from 1 species
UGUUGCUGAUGCUACAGAUGCUGCGAGAAGUGCAUCUGACAUUGUUUUAACUGAACCUGGAUUGAGUGUUAUUAUCAGUGCCGUGCUGACUAGCAGAGCUAUUUUCCAAAGGAUGAAGAACUAUACUAUCUAUGCAGUUUCCAUCACAAUCCGAAUUGUGUUUGGUUUCAUGCUUAUUGCUCUGAUAUGGAAGUUUGACUUCUCUCCUUUCAUGGUUUUGAUUAUUGCUAUCCUAAAUGAUGGAACAAUUAUGACAAUCUCAAAGGAUAGAGUGAAGCCAUCACCCUUGCCUGAUAGCUGGAAACUCAAAGAAAUAUUUGCCACUGGAAUUGUGCUUGGUGGUUACUUGGCUCUGAUGACUGUUAUAUUCUUCUGGGCUAUGCAUAAAACUGACUUCUUUUCAGUAAGAAAUGCAAUAUUUUGCUUUGCAAGCUUACAGUUUAAUGAAUUAUUCAAAAUUUUGGUUUGAUUGUUAUCCAAAUUGUAACAGAGUUUUUCACAAAUGCAGGACAAAUUUGGUGUAAGAUCUAUAAGAAAUAGUGAACAUGAAAUGAUGGGUGCUUUGUACCUUCAAGUCAGUAUUGUAAGCCAGGCUCUCAUUUUCGUGACUCGUUCUCGCAGCUGGUCUUAUGUUGAACGCCCUGGUCUGCUACUAAUGACUGCAUUCAUAAUUGCACAGCUAGUAUGAAAUUUCUGCUCUGCAUAUCUUUCUAAGCUCUAUUUUGUUAUCAUCACUGAUUUCUCACUUGAAUUGAUGAAGAGGCUAAAAGCUUCUUCUUUAUCCUCUAAGAAGCUAAAUCCACUCUGGUUUUCAGGUUGCAACUUUGAUCGCCGUAUACGCCAACUGGGGCUUCGCAAGGAUCAAAGGAAUUGGCUGGGGAUGGGCUGGAGUUAUCUGGAUUUACAGUGUUGUUUUCUAUGUCCCACUUGACUUCUUGAAGUUUGCCAUUCGUUACAUCUUGAGUGGAAAGGCUUGGAUGAACUUGCUAGAGAACAAAACUGCAUUCACCACCAAGAAAGAUUAUGGUAAAGAGGAGAGAGAAGCUCAAUGGGCUCUUGCUCAAAGGACCUUGCACGGACUUCAACCACCAGAAACUGCCAGUAUCUUCAAUGAAAAGAACAGCUAUAGAGAGUUGUCUGAGAUUGCUGAACAGGCCAAGAGACGAGCAGAGGUUGCAAGGCUUCGGGAGCUUCACACGCUGAAAGGACAUGUCGAGUCAGUGGUGAAGCUCAAGGGUUUGGACAUUGAUACCAUCCAGCAGCAUUAUACAGUCUAAAAAGACAGCCUGCAAUAACAUUUGCUUGACAAGGAAAAGGCUACAGUUCAAUGAUGAACCCAAAUCAAGAAAGCAGAGAAGGAUAUAUAGUUAAUGCCUUCUAGAAAGAGAAGAAAUGUCUAUGCCAUAGUUUUCCUAAUCUAUUUUCGUUUUCUCUUUCUUUUAUUUUUCAACUGCUGAAAGAAAGGAUUGUGUUUACCAACUUCUUGCUCUGUGAAGAGCAAAUGUCAUCUUGUUACUCAGUUUUCAAGUUGUAAUUCUACUUUUCUUCCGCCUAAUUUCUCGCUUGGCUACUGUUCCUAUCCAUGAUGUCUGAUUUUCACUCUUUGUUACCUUUAAUUGCUUUAACCAAUGUGUUCUUGUCUCAACUUGGC